CGGCCUGCGGCAGCCUACACAUGCAGUCGAGCGGAUGAAGGGAGCUUGCUCCCUGAUUCAGCGGCGGACGGGUGAGUAAUGCCUAGGAAUCUGCCUGGUAGUGGGGGACAACGUUUCGAAAGGAACGCUAAUACCGCAUACGUCCUACGGGAGAAAGCAGGGGACCUUCGGGCCUUGCGCUAUCAGAUGAGCCUAGGUCGGAUUAGCUAGUUGGUGAGGUAAUGGCUCACCAAGGCUGCGAUCCGUAACUGGUCUGAGAGGAUGAUCAGUCACACUGGAACUGAGACACGGUCCAGACUCCUACGGGAGGCAGCAGUGGGGAAUAUUGGACAAUGGGCGAAAGCCUGAUCCAGCCAUGCCGCGUGUGUGAAGAAGGUCUUCGGAUUGUAAAGCACUUUAAGUUGGGAGGAAGGGCAGUAAGUUAAUACCUUGCUGUUUUGACGUUACCGACAGAAUAAGCACCGGCUAACUUCGUGCCAGCAGCCGCGGUAAUACGAAGGGUGCAAGCGUUAAUCGGAAUUACUGGGCGUAAAGCGCGCGUAGGUGGUUUGUUAAGUUGGAAGUGAAAGCCCCGGGCUCAACCUGGGAACUGCUUUCAAAACUGGCAAGCUAGAGUAUGGCAGAGGGUGGUGGAAUUUCCUGUGUAGCGGUGAAAUGCGUAGAUAUAGGAAGGAACACCAGUGGCGAAGGCGACCACCUGGGCUAAUACUGACACUGAGGUGCGAAAGCGUGGGGAGCAAACAGGAUUAGAUACCCUGGUAGUCCACGCCGUAAACGAUGUCGACUAGCCCUUGGGAUCCUUGAGAUCUUAGUGGCGCAGCUAACGCAUUAAGUCGACCGCCUGGGGAGUACGGCCGCAAGGUUAAGACUCAAAUGAAUUGACGGGGGCCCGCACAACCGGUGGAGCAUGUGGUUUAUUUCGAAGCAACGCGAAGAACCUUACCAGGCCUUGACUUGCAGAGAACUUUCCAAAAAUGAAUUGGUGCCUUCGGGAACUCUGA
rnacentral:rRNA from 2 species